rnacentral:miRNA from 1 species
UUUAAGGGUUUCACGGCUGCU